rnacentral:lncRNA from 1 species
UUGGCGCUGUGUUCGGCCGCUCCGGCGCGUUCCCCGCCGAGUGCGUCCAUCCCGUCGCUCCUCCUGACUUCCUGUCACUUCCACUGGACCGAAAGUCAGAGCCUCGAGGUGGAGCGGGACAGUUCGCUGUGUCAUCAGCUGUCGCCGUCGCCGUAGCAUCCACCAUGGCUGCGCAUGAGAUAGAUCAAACAAUUGAGAAGGUCUCUGUUGAUGGCUUUGCUGAUGGAGAUCUGGAUGAAAGUGCCCUGCAGGACACUAGAUAUGACAUGUUGGAGUUUGCCAAGAAGUACUUCAGACAGGCGCCCGGCGGGAAAGGAGAUUCCCUGAAGAGCAAAAGCAAGAACAGAGACUCCCGGGAGCCCACUGAAAUGAUCAAGUUUUCCAAGGUGCCUUCUUCUUUGCUCUCAGUUUUGCUGUGGUAACACUACGGGCGCACCGAGUCGUUCGCGUAACU